rnacentral:rRNA from 1 species
GACAGAGGGUGCAAACGUUGUUCGGAAUUACUGGGCGUAAAGCGCGCGCAGGCGGCUCCUCAAGUCAGGGGUGAAAGCCCAGAGCUCAACUCUGGAGUUGCCUUUGAGACUGUAGAGCUUGAGUACGGGAGAGGUGAGUGGAAUUCCCAGUGUAGAGGUGAAAUUCGUAGAUAUCGGGAGGAACACCAGUGGCGAAGGCGGAGACCUGGGCCAAUACUGACGCUGAGGUGCGAAAGCGUGGGGAGCAAACAGG